rnacentral:rRNA from 1 species
GACGAACGCUGGCGGCGUGCCUAAUACAUGCAAGUUGAGCGCUGAAGGUUGGUACUUGUACCAACUGGAUGAGCAGCGAACGGGUGAGUAACGCGUGGGGAAUCUGCCUUUGAGCGGGGGACAACAUUUGGAAACGAAUGCUAAUACCGCAUAAAAACUUUAAACACAAGUUUUAAGUUUGAAAGAUGCAAUUGCAUCACUCAAAGAUGAUCCCGCGUUGUAUUAGCUAGUUGGUGAGGUAAAGGCUCACCAAGGCGAUGAUACAUAGCCGACCUGAGAGGGUGAUCGGCCACAUUGGGACUGAGACACGGCCCAAACUCCUACGGGAGGCAGCAGUAGGGAAUCUUCGGCAAUGGACGAAAGUCUGACCGAGCAACGCCGCGUGAGUGAAGAAGGGUUUCGGAUCGUAGAACUCUGUUGGUAGAGAAGAACGUUGGUGAGAGUGGAAAGCUCAUCAAGUGACGGUAACUACCCAGAAAGGGACGGCUAACUACGUG